rnacentral:rRNA from 1 species
AGUUUGAUCCUGGCUCAGGAUGAACGCUGGCGGCGUGCCUAACACAUGCAAGUCGAGCGGAGAUGAGUGAAGUGCUUGCACUUUGUUCAUUUUAGCGGCGGACGGGUGAGUAACACGUGGGUAAUCUGCCUUACACAGAGGAAUAACAAUGAGAAAUCAUUGCUAAAACCUCAUAAGCUCACAUUUUCGCAUGAAAGAGUGAGAAAAUAUUAAUAGGUGUAAGAGGAGCCCGCGUCUGAUUAGCUAGUUGGUAAGGUAACGGCUUACCAAGGCGACGAUCAGUAGCCGACCUGAGAGGGUGACCGGCCACAUUGGGACUGAGACACGGCCCAAACUCCUACGGGAGGCAGCAGUGGGGAAUAUUGCACAAUGGAGGGAACUCUGAUGCAGCAACGCCGCGUGAAGGAUGAAGGAUUUCGGUUCGUAAACUUCUUUAGGCAGGGACGAAAAAAAUGACG